GUGGGCCUGCGUCCGACAGCGCGCGGCCGUGCUUUCUAAGCGGGCUCGGCAGCACCAGACUUCACCGGCCCGGCGCGGGGCUCACAAGUGCUCGCACUCCCUGCGGCCGGCGCGCUGACCGGAGCCUCUGGGUCUCGCACGCAGCAGCUGCAGACGCUGCCCGGCGCGGUGGGGCUGUGAGCAAAACGGCCCGCCGGUGUGGUUGCCCAGACUGUGCUGGGCCCUCCUAGGUGGAUGGCCCUGCCCCAGCCUAACUUCUGUACCCCAGCAUAACCUCCAAAGUAACAGCCGUGCCCUGGGAGCCUGUUCAACACUGAACAUAUCCCACAAUAACACUGUUCCAGCGUCGCUGGUAAAAAGCAGAAAUGGCUUCGCUGGAGGCAUCGACAAAUCUAAUGCAGUAACCUCAUUUUACAGAAGAGAACUCUAAGAGGAUAACUAACUUGGCCAAGAUCACAUGAUGUUUCUGGAUGAGAUUAGCAUUCAAAUUCGUGGACUCAUUAAAGUAGAUGGCUCUCUCCAAUAUGGGUGGGCAUCAUCCAAUCUGUUGAAGGCGUGAAGAGAACAAGAGAAGGAGGAAGGAAGAAUUCACCUUUUUUCUUGCUGCCCACCUGCUUGGGCUGGGACAUUGCAUCUCACCUUCUCCAGCCUUUGGAUGAGGAUUUACACCCUGGUUCUCAGGCCUUCAGGCUCUAACUGGAGCUACACUAUCAACUUUCCUGGGCCUCCAGAUUGCAGAUGGUGGAUCACGGUACUUUUUAGCCUCCAUCAUAAUAUGAGAAAAAAGAGGCACAGUGAAGCUAAAUAUAUUGGCUAAAGAUCACAAAGCUAAUAUCGCUCUUUUCUCUGAAAUUUGCCUGGGGCCGCAGCAUAAAUCUACAGUUACAACCAUGAAGGUAGAAGUUGCUCAUUAAUUCAGAGGGCAGGAACUUGUGAACAUAACUGUUAGAAGAUUAUCAAGGUUAUCUGUGCUCAAUGUGUGCAUCUCAGAUCAGCAGCAUCAGCAUCACCUGGGAGCUUGUUAGAGCUGGAGACUCUCAGGCUCCACGGCAGACUUCCUGAAUCAGAAGCUACAAUUUAACAGGAUCCUCGGGUGAUCUGAAAAUGCAAUAAAGUUUGGGAAGCACUGCUGUUGGUCAUUAGACAAUCUAAUGAACUAAGACUUUUGCCGAGCAUCUGAGUUGAAAUUUUUCAAGAUGAAAAGUUGCUAAAGAAAGAGAAAGGGAAGCGGUUUGCUCCAGUAUUCCUCUUUCCACCUUCCCACUGACUGGGAAGCGGCGGUUAGCAGAGCCACAGUCUUGGAUUAGAGAUAAGAGGGACAUGUUGAGGAAGGUGGAGUCUCCCCCACAGCCCUGGACCAGGCUCCAGUGCCAACAAAAGCCAAGAAGAACCUCUGGAGCAAUCAGUCUUACGGAAUCCCUGUAUUCUAGGAUUUGGCAAGCUGUCCACUGAAACAUUAUUUUUCCCAGCCUUCUUUGCAGAGGUG
rnacentral:lncRNA from 1 species